UUAAUGGAGAGUUUGAUCCUGGCUCAGAAUUAACGCUGGCAGAGUGCAUAACACAUGCAAGUCGAGCGGGGUUUACAGCUUAUCGUAGACCUAGCGGCAGACGAGUGAGUAACACGUAAGCAACAUACCCUCGAAUGGCGGAUACCGCACCGAAAGGUGUGCUAAUACGCCGUAUGAUCAUAGGGCGGCAUCGCCUGGUGAUGAGAGACCCGCAAGGGUCGUUUGAGGAGUGGCUUGCGGCCCAUCAGCUAGUUGGUGAGGUAACGGCCCACCAAGGCUAUGACGGGUACCCGGCCUGAAAGGGCGAACGGGCACGAAGGCUCUGAGACACGGGCCUUCCUCCUACGGGAGGCAGCA
rnacentral:ncRNA from 1 species